UGGCGGACGGGUGAGUAACAUUUAGGAAUCUACCUAGUAGUGGGGGAUAGCUCGGGGAAACUCGAAUUAAUACCGCAUACGACCUACGGGUGAAAGGGGGCGCAAGCUCUUGCUAUUAGAUGAGCCUAAAUCAGAUUAGCUAGUUGGUGGGGUAAAGGCCUACCAAGGCGACGAUCUGUAACUGGUCUGAGAGGAUGAUCAGUCACACCGGAACUGAGACACGGUCCGGACUCCUACGGGAGGCAGCAGUGGGGAAUAUUGGACAAUGGGGGCAACCCUGAUCCAGCCAUGCCGCGUGUGUGAAGAAGGCCUUUUGGUUGUAAAGCACUUUAAGCAGGGAGGAGAGGCUAAUGGUUAAUACCCAUUAGAUUAGACGUUACCUGCAGAAUAAGCACCGGCUAACUCUGUGCCAGCAGCCGCGGUAAUACAGAGGGUGCGAGCGUUAAUCGGAAUUACUGGGCGUAAAGCGAGUGUAGGUGGCUCAUUAAGUCACAUGUGAAAUCCCCGGGCUUAACCUGGGAACUGCAUGUGAUACUGGUGGUGCUAGAAUAUGUGAGAGGGAAGUAGAAUUCCAGGUGUAGCGGUGAAAUGCGUAGAGAUCUGGAGGAAUACCGAUGGCGAAGGCAGCUUCCUGGCAUAAUAUUGACACUGAGAUUCGAAAGCGUGGGUAGCAAACAGGAUUAGAUACCCUGGUAGUCCACGCCGUAAACGAUGUCUACUAGCCGUUGGGGUCCUUGAGACUUUAGUGGCGCAGUUAACGCGAUAAGUAGACCGCCUGGGGAGUACGGCCGCAAGGUUAAAACUCAAAUGAAUUGACGGGGGCCCGCACAAGCGGUGGAGCAUGUGGUUUAAU
rnacentral:rRNA from 1 species